AAAAAUAAAUAGACAUAAAAAAAAAAAGAAGAAGAAGCUUGAGCCCUCUAAAUCUGAUCAAUGAAGCAUCUAUCCCAAGGCUAACUGUGGACGGCAGCCCUUUCAGUCUGUGGCCCAGAGGUCCCCCGCUUUCUCUGUGACACAGGUAAAAGAGGGCCUGCCUCAGACCCCAAAAUCUCCUGUCUCCCCAAAGGCUUUUGAACAUGGUGGGGGGGGGGGGAGUAUUUCCGCUCAAUUCCUUAUGUGGGGCGCCGCCCACAGCCAGCCGUCCGACAGCUCUGCCUCCAGAAUGUUCUGUGGCCUCCCGCGGAGAACCACGCAUCUGUUCAUUUCACACCUCGCUGAAAAUCCCACCUCUCAGCCCUUCCUACCAUGGCAGCGCCUGAUGGAACCAUGGCUGUAGCCCAGAGCAGCUUCGGAGGCCGUGCUCUUCCAAAGGGGGGGAAAAGAAAUUUUUUUGUUUAAUUGGAUGUUGAUGGGAUUUGGUGUCAGAAAACGUUUCUCACAGGGUUUUCAAGCUUAGAUAAGAAAACGUUUGCGAAAACCCUUUGUAAGCGGUGAGGCUGUAUGCAAAGGCUUCCCCCAGCCAGACAUCUUAUAGCUCUGCCUCGGGAACGUUCUGUAACCAGGGAUUAUUAUGACCCUGCCUACGCCUCUGGUUGGUCGCUAGAACCAUCCUCUGUUUAUUUAGAUAAGCCCUUCUCCAUCUGAAAUCUCCCCCCAAACCCAAAAAUAACAAACACAGAGUGCUGAUCAAAAGACCAGUCUUUGCCUGAACGGCUGGAGACACAGACCUGCCCGCUUUCUUGGUAAAGCGCUUUCGAUAAUUAUAAGCUAGAUAGGACUUGAAGGUGUCGGGGAAAUGCAGGCAGAGGCGGUCACCUUGCUGAGCUGGGCACGGCAGCCCCAGUCACCGGUCACCCUCCAUGUUCGGAGAGCUCAUUCCGCUCUGAAGUGCUAAGGCGACCUUCCUCCACCCCCCCCCGGGGACAAGAGGUACACCUUUGAACUUCACACACCAGGGAAAGGAGACUUUUUACCACCAGCAGGCUGAGGAAGCACCCAAAGCCAGAGGACAAAGACAUCUCUGUCCUUGGUGACCAAGGCUGACCUCUGUGUCCGGGCUGGCCUUGUUGAAAGGUUCAGGACGCGCACCUGGAGAAGAGCUGGCAUCACAGGCAGGGACGCGAAGGACUUCUCUGGGGACCGGCUUCUUAGCGGCGCAGAGAGUCUUUCUCCCGUGCUGACGACCUGAGUUCAUCCCACACUCCAGGAAACCAAGGCCAUCCGAAGACGGCGCCCUCUUUAAUUUAGUUGAAUUAAGAGCUCCAGCUGAGACCAAAACAGCUCCCUCGGCCACCUACCAACCGCAUUGGGCCGGUGCUAGGCAUUUCACACCCAUCCUCACUGAUCCUCGGGAGAGGCCCAUUUUACAGAUGGGGGCACCAAGGCACACACAGGGUAAGCGACUUCCAGGGCAGAGACUCUGAGCCCAACACCGACUCCAACGCUCACGGAGGGGGGUUUUCACGUUGCAUCAGCUUCUCCCUGUUUUGCAUUUUGUUCUUUCUUCCAGCUCACCAGCUUCCAGAUUUGUGUGCCCAGGUGUCGUGGUGGAAAGCCCAUCACCCAUCAGCACAGAAGGCAUGUGAAAUGCCAGGCGGCGUCCACCUGGCGGUGCGUGAGCGCCCGAUGGACGGAGGUGCCCGUGCGUCCUCAGACAUUCUGCCGAGCGCGGCUGAGCCAAGAACGUCUCUCUGGCCUUAAGCCAUUUCCAUAUGGGCCCUGAGUAGCAGUCUGAACUGCCCCGACUUACAAAUCCUUUAACUAACAAGUGGCAAUAACCUGCACGACUUUUUAAUGUUCCAUUUAUUCUUCCAAGCGUCUGUGGUUCGGGGAUCUAGAAUCGCGGCGCUCCUGAGUGCCGAGCACAUGACGUAACGGAGGGAAGAAACGCUCCACAGCUUUGCCAGCCAGGGAGGAAGUUCAAGUUUCAGCAGGCUCAGCGGAGUUAAAGUAAUCUCUGCCCCCGGCGUGGGGCUCGAACUCACAACCCCGAGAUCAAGAGCGGCACGCGAGCGGACCCAGCAACACACUUCCGCCAAAGCCCUCCAUGGCCGGGCCGACCACACGACGACCUCGCCGGGGACCUUACGAAAGUCCAGGAAACAUUCUUCCUCCCUGUGCUUGUCCGCUUUUGCCCCCAGUUGACGAUCUCUCGGCCAGACUGGCCCUCUCCUCAGGGAUGAAGAUACUACUCAUUACGUGCCCUCGGACGUGCUAGUUUGCACUCACUCAGCCUAAGUGAUGUUCAUCACAUACACCCCCCGUCCUGCAGGCGGCUAAAAGAAACCCUGCUUCCUGUCCUGCCAGAGAGCUGGAUGCCUUCACGACAACCCGGUCUCCUCUCCCACCGGGUACGGGCCGUUUGUGAGCCUUUCCUCCAGCGACUACGGUGAUUUGAGCCUCGGUGUCUCAACUCCUGAGAGAGUCGGGUGUUUCUUGCGUGGCUGGGGGCCUGGAAAUGACCCACAACCCCUAAGGAGGGUGGGUGGCCAAGUGAUCUGCUGAAGACUUCUUUUCCUUCCCCCAUCGCUGCGCGCGGAGGCCCAUUUUCCUGGCUGUUAAUCUAGCUCUUGGGACCCUGCUCGGGAAGACAGCCAAGCCAGCCGCUGCCUCCAUCCCGUCGAAGAGGGCGGCGAGGCUACUGGAAGGUGCUAGUUCCUUCUUUCCUGUUCCGGACCCCCUGGGAUCACCUUGCCAGCCAAAGCCUGCGCUCCCUGCGUAAAAAGACAGGAACGCGCUUACAGAGGUGACGCUGAUGUUACCAGAGACGCCAGCGGGUCUGUGUCCUACCCGCACGCGUGUGAGAACAGUUACGUGACAGAGGCUCCCGUGCUGCGGAAAUGUAACCUUGACUCAGGAAAGAUGACCUUCUCUGGCCACGGCCAGGGCUCUCCCUGGGUUAAAUGCCAUUCCUGGACCGGCAGCUGGAAAUACUCUGUCCUUUGUUACCUUUGGACUCAGUGGCGCCCGAGAUUGCGUUACAGAAGAGAAAAGUGUCCGUUGCCACUUGGAAAGUGUAGGGCUCAAAGGACAGUCUGACACGGGUGGAGGGGACAAAGGGGCCUCAUUCGCAUUCCUUCCCUACUUUGUCCUUUCUAUUUAGGGUGACAGGUGUCCCGGUUGGCCCAAGGCAGUCUCCGGGUAUGCCUGUGGACUCAGACUAAUUAUUCACAAUGCCCUCCUGUCGCUCUCAGAAGUGACCUGGUUGGACGACACAUUUUAAGAUCGUCGGUUUGUAGUGGUCGAGAAGAGGGAGACAAGGCCUCUCUGUGGAGACGGACCCCCUUGAGAGCCUGCCUGGAUAAGAGACGUUAGGUUGAAGAAAGCAGCACUUUUUCCAAGCCCUUCCAAAGAGCCCUCUGCGAUGCCCACCCUUCGUGGCUCUGAGCAGCCACACCCCCCCCCCAGCUCGUGAGCCACUGGGGUGACCAAGCUAAGCCAGGUGGACCUGUUGGCCUUCUGGGUGUGAUCAGAAAAUCACGCUAUUCCUGCCAGCCAGCUGACCCGGCAGCCGCCCAAGACGAAAGGCCAGUCUUGCUGCUGGGCCCCCAAGUCUCAGGCCUUCCGGUCGCAGGUUCAAGGGCACAUGGGUGCCAGGCUGGCGCAGGAGCUCUUGUUUUUAGGGUCUUCUGACCAUGCCGGGUCCCAUCACGGCCCAUUCUGCCAUCAACAUAGAUCCGCAGCUAGAGAGACGGGAAUACGAGGGAGGGCCGGGCAGGGGUCUUCAGGGAGCCUCAAAGAUCUGACACCCCCCCCCAAACUUAACCUUUUGCCUCCAGCUCCGCGGUAACGAAGGCACACCUAAUCCCUCAGCCCUGAGAAUGUUUCUUCCUGCAGGAGACGGCCAAGGCCAACAGGGGGAUGGGUUUUCCUGAGCCAUCGCUAGGGACAGACCAACUCCGUGGAGCAAAUUCUCCUCUAGGGCUUGAUCCGUGAAGUUACUCUAUAAUUCAUCAGCUCCGUCUAGAAGCUGUGGAACACAUCGAUCACCAUUAGGCUGUCAAAACAUCCACUCAGCCGGCAAGAAUAGCUUAUUAGAGUUUUUAAAAAUACCAGUCGUUUGCGAAGAUGUUGGUCGGGUCUCUGCGUCUCUGCGUGCACCCAGAAAGUGCCUCUGCACACAGGUAGUUCGCUAGCGUUUCCUGCGAAGGAGAGAGAGAGGCUGGAGACCGUGGGGGCUCAGCGGACCCAGAGAGCAACACCUAUGGCAUCAAAAGGAUGCUGAACGUUUAAUUUUGUAAACAUGGGGUGUUGGCCUGUAAGUCACGGUCCAAUAUCUCCCCCAGCCCGAGGCCUGGCCCCCACUCUCAUCCACAGUCCACGAAGAAGGGUCAAUUCUACAGUCGGUGGGCGAGUAUCUUGCCUGGUAGCUUCUUGGAGGAAUGGGCAGAGGUUGCGGAAAAGUCUGUGGACCUCCACGGUUGUUCGAACACGCUGUCGCUGGCAAAAGUGCCUCUCUGAAUUUCAAAUCAAAAAUCCUGACCUUG